UACAGAGGGGGCAAGCGUUGUUCGGAAUUACUGGGCGUAAAGGGCGCGUAGGCGGCCACCGCAAGUCGACUGUGAAAUCUCCGGGCUUAACCCGGAAAGGUCAGCCGAUACUGCGGGGCUAGAGUGCAGAAGGGGCAACUGGAAUUCUCGGUGUAGCGGUGAAAUGCGUAGAUAUCGAGAGGAACACCUGCGGCGAAGGCGGGUUGCUGGGCUGACACUGACGCUGAUGUGCGAAAGCUAGGGGAGCGAACGGG
rnacentral:rRNA from 1 species